UACGUAGGCAGCGAGCGUUGUUCGGAUUUACUGGGCGUAAAGCGUGCGCAGGCGGUUCGUUAAGUCCGAUGUGAAAGCCCCGAGCUUAACUUGGGAAUGGCAUUGGAAACUGGCGGGCUGGAGUGUGGCAGAGGGGGGUGGAAUUCCACGUGUAGCAGUGAAAUGCGCAGAUAUCAGGAGGAACACCGGUGGCGAAGGCGGGUCUCUGGGCCGAAACUGACGCUGGGGAGCGAAAGCGUGGGGAGCAAACAGG
rnacentral:rRNA from 1 species